CGUCCUUGUCGCCGAAAUGGUUGUUGCCGAGCCCGCCGGGAAACAUGAGGAGGGUGGCCGACGGUGACCCGGUGGGAGCGAGCAGCAGCACGCGCACGGUGACGCCGGAUCGGGUUGGGACCGUCAGGAUUUCCUGCCCCGGGGCCGAUGACGGGAGCGCCACGACCAGCAGACCGGCCAGAGAGAGCGCCCGCGCGAACCGGCUGCGCAUGGGCCGAGUAUAGGCCGACUCGCUAUCGCGCGGCGGUGCAUCCGGCUGAUAUAAUGGCCUGUGCUAUACUCCGCGCGGUUUCCCACCUUCUCAGGAGGCGCGACGUGA
rnacentral:misc_RNA from 1 species